GACGAGCGCUGGCGGCGUGCCUAAUACAUGCAAGUCGAACGCAUUUUCUUUCACCGUAGCUUGCUACACCGAAAGAAAAUGAGUGGCGAACGGGUGAGUAACACGUGGGUAACCUGCCCAUCAGCGGGGGAUAACACUUGGAAACAGGUGCUAAUACCGCAUAAUUCCAUUUACUGCAUGGUAGAUGGAUGAAAGGCGCUUUUGCGUCACUGAUGGAUGGACCCGCGGUGCAUUAGCUAGUUGGUGGGGUAACGGCCUACCAAGGCUGCGAUGCAUAGCCGACCUGAGAGGGUGAUCGGCCACACUGGGACUGAGACACGGCCCAGACUCCUACGGGAGGCAGCAGUAGGGAAUCUUCGGCAAUGGACGCAAGUCUGACCGAGCAACGCCGCGUGAGUGAAGAAGGUUUUCGGAUCGUAAAACUCUGUUGUUAGAAAAGAACAAGGAUGAGAGUGGAAAGUUCAUCCCUUGACGGUAUCUAACCAGAAAGCCACGGCUAACUACGUG
rnacentral:rRNA from 1 species